ensembl:snRNA U6 U6 spliceosomal RNA
GCACUCACUUCGGCAGCACAUACACUAAACUUGGAAUGAUACAGGGAAGGUUAGCACUGCCCCUGUGCAAGAUGAUGUGCAAAUUCAUGGCGUCUGGUGGCUCUGA